GAUGAACGCUGGCGGCGUGCCUAAUACAUGCAAGUCGAGCGAAUGGAUUAAGAGCUUGCUCUUAUGAAGUUAGCGGCGGACGGGUGAGUAACACGUGGGUAACCUGCCCAUAAGACUGGGAUAACUCCGGGAAACCGGGGCUAAUACCGGAUAACAUUUUGAACCGCAUGGUUCGAAAUUGAAAGGCGGCUUCGGCUGUCCCUUAUGGAUGGACCCGCGUCGCAUUAGCUAGUUGGUGAGGUAACGGCUCACCAAGGCAACGAUGCGUAGCCGACCUGAGAGGGUGAUCGGCCACACUGGGACUGAGACACGGCCCAGACUCCUACGGGAGGCAGCAGUAGGGAAUCUUCCGCAAUGGACGAAAGUCUGACGGAGCAACGCCGCGUGAGUGAUGAAGGCUUUCGGGUCGUAAAACUCUGUUGUUAGGGAAGAACAAGUGCUAGUUGAAUAAGCUGGCACCUUGACGGUACCUAACCAGAAAGCCACGGCUAACGAAGGGCCAGCAGCCGCUGUAA
rnacentral:rRNA from 1 species